rnacentral:rRNA from 1 species
GGAAUCAUUGGGCGUAAAGCGCACGUAGGCGGUCGGCUAUGUCGGAUGUGAAAGCCUCGGGCUUAACCCGAGAAGGGCAUCCGAAACUGGCCGGCUUGAGUACGGAAGAGGGUCUCGGAAUUCCCGGUGUAGAGGUGAAAUUCGUAGAUAUCGGGAGGAACACCAGUGGCGAAGGCGGAGACCUGGGCCGAUACUGACGCUGAGGUGCGAAAGCGUGGGGAGCAAACAGG